GGAUCCAGACUUUGAUUCUGGCUCAGGACGAACGCUGGCGGCGUGCCUAAUACAUGCAAGUCGAACGAAGCUUUCUUUCACCGAAUGCUUGCAUUCACCGAAAGAAGCUUAGUGGCGAACGGGUGAGUAACACGUAGGCAACCUGCCCAAAAGAGGGGGAUAACACUUGGAAACAGGUGCUAAUACCGCAUAACCAUGAACACCGCAUGAUGUUCAUGUAAAAGACGGCUUUUGCUGUCACUUUUGGAUGGGCCUGCGGCGUAUUAACUUGUUGGUGGGGUAACGGCCUACCAAGGUGAUGAUACGUAGCCGAACUGAGAGGUUGAUCGGCCACAUUGGGACUGAGACACGGCCCAAACUCCUACGGGAGGCAGCAGUAGGGAAUCUUCCACAAUGGACGAAAGUCUGAUGGAGCAACGCCGCGUGAAUGAAGAAGGCCUUCGGGUCGUAAAAUUCUGUUGUCAGAGAAGAACGUGCGUGAGAGUAACUGUUCACGUAUUGACGGUAUCUGACCAGAAAGCCACGGCUAACUACGUGCCAGCAGCCGCGGUAAUACGUAGGUGGCGAGCGUUGUCCGGAUUUAUUGGGCGUAAAGGGAACGCAGGCGGUCUUUU
rnacentral:rRNA from 1 species